AGAAGGCGGGAAGGCUGCUUUUCAUCGGCUGCUCUCAGUUCCACUGGCUCCAGUUAAAGCUGGCCCCUGUUUCUCGGGAAAUUUAAGCAGACUGAUUAAUGGAUUUCCCUGGCUUCAGUUUCCUUCCAGCCAAGUGUCACCUGCUGAUGGAAGAGAACCACCAAUCACUCUCCCUAACAUGGAGUGGAGAAGAAUUAAGGAAAUUUUAGCUUUCCGUUCCCAUUACUUCUUUCUGUUGAAGACAUCUGACUUUUACUCCAAAAGGGAAAAGCUCAGACUGCUGGAUGGGGAGAAGAAAGGGAAUGUGGUUUCCUGAAACAUUUCCAGAAAUGACAUGGGAAAAUAACUCUUGAAAGAGAUGCAGCGCUAGAAACACUUCCUUUUGGAGCAGCAUUUCCACAGUAUUCUUGGUUGAGCCAAAUGUAAUAACAGUUCAGCUAUUAUUGUUGCAAGGAGGGUGGGCAUCGAGGAGGAGAAGUAAUUCAUGCAAACAGCAGCUUGUAAUUUCUGGGAUUACAAACCAUGUCUACUAUGAGGCAUGGUAUUCAUGUGGUUUUAACAUGCAUUUAAAGAGAUAGAGGGAGGGGAGAGAGAGAGAGAGAGAAGUGGAUUUUUUUCAUAUCCUACCAAAAGCUAUAAAAAUUAGCAUUUCCAAGAAUGUUUCAGGCAGCAAUUUAAAACAUGCUUCUGUUGUCUGCCUUUUAGUUCCUUUAGCUUCAGUUUUUCUACAUUCCUUUUAGCAGAGCUCCAGUUGAUUGUGAAACAGUUACAGUAUAAUCCUUUACAUAUCUACUCGAAGUAAGCUGUACUACAUUUAGUGUGGCUUGCUCCUAGUAAUUAGGUAUGGCACUGCAGCCUUAAUCAAAUCACUGUGGACAUGAACAUUCCAUCAAACAGAGCACUCUGACUUUUGAUACAGAAUCUAUGUAUUGGGAAAGAAUAUGUCCCUUUUCUUCAAAAAAAGAAAAAUAAAAGACCAACAUCUUAUAACAAUCAUGUUUGAAGAGAAGUGGGAAAUGCAUGGUAUAUUUUUAGAAAGCAGAGAAGACUCAGGGGAAUCUUGGGAAGACAGGAAAGAACUCUCAGUGUAUUUCUCACUCUUUCAUAUCCCAAACUUUUCUUAUAUACUUAGUGACAUGAAAAUAAUAAUUAUAACAGCCACAUCCUUAAAAUUCUGUAUCAGUGAAAAUCAGUCCAAUAAACUUCCCAGUGUUUCAGCCAUUCUUACUAUUCUACAUAUAUCAAAAUAGAGAAAGAAUAAAAAGAAAAAAAUGAUUUAAUAACUAAAAAUGUAAGAAAGCAAUUGAGAGCCAGAGUCAUCUGUAGGCCAGAGUAAUGGACUUCAACCAGGAGGACAGUAACAAAUUCUUAUGAGAGCCAGAUUAAGGAUUGGGAGCUGUGGAGGUGGAUUUUAAUCCUUUGAUUCUCACCACUAAUCUAUUAAAAAUGAGACACGUGCAUAGGGGUGACCACAGGGUAUGGUCAAAAAAGUCAAAAUCAUAGCCACAAUGGUGCAACUAAAGCUCUACCUGGUUUUUAUGUGCAUCAUAUCUGACAUCUUGACUUUUUUUUUUUUUUAACCAUAUCCUGUGGUUACCCCUGGAUAUACAGUGUUUUGGGUUCAAAGGCAAAAUGGUUCUUCAGAGUGUGAAUGUCUGCCACUUCUUAAAGCAAAUGUUUCAUUUUCCAGGGUUGUGCAGCAGCUGUAGAGUCCAGUUGCACAAUCCCAGGAAAAGACACAAAUGCUUUAGGACUUGCACACUGGCAUCUCCACGUGCUCUGAAAUAUCUUUUUGCCUUGAAUCCAAAGCACUGUACAGCCAUAAUAAAAAUCUAAAUGCCUGCAGGUGCACCCACCCACACAUAACUUUUUCACCAUUUUAAUACAAACAGUUUUCUCCCCAAUACAUAUACUAGCUUCACAGAAGAAUAUUUUCAUUGAAAUCCUAACUCUCAGAAUAGGAGGAAAUAGUUAAUGCUCCGUCCCUCCCUGUGUCCCAUUGUCUUGAACCUAUCAUGUUCUCUGAGGCUUCCAACAGCAGUUGUAAAAAUAUGCAGUUUUAAUAUCACAUCUAGUUUGUCAUUAAGUGUAAUGGUCAUAGUUUCAGCAGCAAUCUAAAUUAUUUCAUAGCACUUUUGUGAAGCUACUGUGCAUCUUUUGGGCCAGGAGAUUAGGAAAGCUGUGCUGGUGAUGUGUUGUUCUUGAUUUGGGAGUCAUUGUUUUAACCUUGGAUAUCACGGGCUAUAUUUUCUUGUAGCUUUGAAAUUUGUGCAAUGCCCAGAGUCAUUGUUGUAAGAUGGGUGGCUAUAUAAAUAAUUUAAAUAAAGUAAAUAAAAAAUAAGUCCAUAUUCAUUCCCUUUCACUCUGUGAUAGGAAGGCAAAAUAUAAGAUAAACUUGCAAAGCAAGUAAGAUUUGUUUCAAAGGCAUACUUAACUAGAGCUACUAGAGACAGGGCUUUUUCAGUGGUGGCACCCAAGCUAUGCAGACAAGUCAGAUACUGCCUUUUUUUAAAAAAAAAGUCACUAUUUUUAAGGUACACUGUAUCAUAUUUUCUCUCAUGUAUUGAUAUUUGCUGUCUCUUUUUCACCUUUCUGAUUUUUUAAAAUUGUAGUUGACUUAUGACUAUACCAUGUAAGUAAAGACAGAA